CCAGACUCCUACGGGAGGCAGCAGUGGGGGAUAUUGCACAAUGGGGGAAACCCUGAUGCAGCGACGCCGCGUGAGUGAAGAAGUAAUUCGUUACGUAAAGCUCUAUCAGCAGGGAAGAAAAUGACGGUACCUGACUAAGAAGCCCCGGCUAACUACGUGCCAGCAGCCGCGGUAAUACGUAGGGGGCAAGCGUUAUCCGGAAUUACUGGGUGUAAAGGGGGCGCAGACGGCGAUGCAAGCCAGGAGUGAAAGCCCGGGGCCCAACCCCCGGACUGCUCUGGAAACUGUACGGCUGGAGUGCAGGAGAGGUAAGUGGAAUUCCUAGUGUAGCGGUGAAAUGCGUAGAUAUUAGGAGGAACACCAGUGGCGAAGGCGGCUUACUGGACUGUAACUGACGUUGAGGCUCGAAAGCGUGGGGAGCAAACAGGAUUAGAUACCCGAGUACU
rnacentral:rRNA from 1 species